GCUGGGUAUGGUGGCGCAUGCCUGUAGUCCCAGCUGCUACUUGGGAGGCUGAGAUGGGAGGAUCACUUCAACCCAGGAAGUUGAGGCUGCAGUGAGCCAUGUUUGUGCCACUGUACUCCAGCCUGGGUAAAAAAGUGAGACCCUGUCUCCA
ensembl:misc_RNA Metazoa_SRP Metazoan signal recognition particle RNA